rnacentral:rRNA from 1 species
UGACAACUCUAGAGAUAGAGUCUUCCCCUUCGGGGGACAAAGUGACAGGUGGUGCAUGGUUGUCGUCAGCUCGUGUCGUGAGAUGUUGGGUUAAGUCCCGCAACGAGCGCAACCCUUAAGCUUAGUUGCCAGCAUUAAGUUGGGCACUCUAAGUUGACUGCCGGUGACAAACCGGAGGAAGGUGGGGAUGACGUCAAAUCAUCAUGCCCCUUAUGAUUUGGGCUACACACGUGCUACAAUGGACAAUACAAAGGGCAGCUAAACCGUGAGGUCAUGCAAAUCCCAUAAAGUUGUUCUCAGUUCGGAUUGUAGUCUGCAACUCGACUACAUGAAGCUGGAAUCGCUAGUAAUCGUAGAUCAGCAUGCUACGGUGAAUACGUUCCCGGGUCUUGUACACACCGCCCGUCACACCACGAGAGUCUGUAACACCCGAAGCCGGUGGAGUAACCAUUUAUGGAGCUAGCCGUCGAAGGUGGGACAAAUGAUUGGGGUGAAGUCGUAACAAGGUAGCCGUAUCGGAA